UGGUGGCGUACUGCCUGUCUACUUAUCUAUCUACCUUUUGCGGCUAGUAGUUUCCCAUCUUUUGGUCAAUGAAAUGGAUUGUCAGGUGCCCGUGCAGUAUCAUUUUGCUUUAUGCCUAGUU
rnacentral:sRNA from 1 species